rnacentral:rRNA from 1 species
GACGAACGCUGGCGGCGUGCUUAACACAUGCAAGUCGAACGCUGAAGCCCUUUCGGGGGUGGAUGAGUGGCGAACGGGUGAGUAACACGUGGGUAAUCUGCCCUGUACUUCGGGAUAAGCCUUGGAAACGGGGUCUAAUACCGGAUAGGACCUGUCCUCGCAUGGGGGUGGGUGGAAAGUUCCGGCGGUAUGGGAUGAGCCCGCGGCCUAUCAGCUUGUUGGUGGGGUAGUGGCCUACCAAGGCGACGACGGGUAGCCGGCCUGAGAGGGUGACCGGUCACACUGGGACUGAGACACGGCCCAGACUCCUACGGGAGGCAGCAGUGGGGAAUCUUGCGCAAUGGGCGAAAGCCUGACGCAGCAACGCCGCGUGGGGGAUGACGGCCUUCGGGUUGUAAACCUCUUUCGACAUCGACGAAGGGGCCCUGUUGUGGGGUUUUGACGGUAGGUGUAGAAGAAGCACCGGCUAACUACGUGCCAGCCGCCGCGGUAAAAC